GGAUUUGAAAGGAAAACUGAAGUGGUUUGGGGGUGAAUGGAUGGAUUCUGCAACAUGCAAGGGAGCUGGGGUUGGUCAGCAAAUGUCUGAGGGGGCAUCAAGCAGCUGAUGUGAAGAAAAGUGAAAAUAAUGUGAAGAAAAAGGGGGGAUUUGGGCUGAAGGAGAGAAUCAAAACAAAGAAUGGCUUUUUUUUCUCUCCUGCUGCAGGGAGAAGGUGGCUCAGUGGGUGCCCCGGGCCCUGCUGGUCCCAUGGGCGAGCCCGGCCAGCCGGGACCUGUGGGGUACCAAGGCAUCAACGGCUCUCAGGGGGAAUUGGGCCCUCCUGGGAUGGCCGGGCCCCGCGGCCCCAAGGGACCCCAGGGCUUGCAGGGCCGGCGUGGCCCCCCCGGCCCCAGGGGCUCUCAGGGUCCAGCAGGGCUGGAGGGAUCCUCUGGUCCCAAAGGAGACACAGGUACAGCUGGUGCCCCUGGGGUGAGGGGACAGCUGGGACAGCAGGGCCC
rnacentral:lncRNA from 1 species